rnacentral:rRNA from 1 species
CCUACGGGUGGCAGCAGUGGGGAAUAUUGCGCAAUGGGCGAAAGCCUGACGCAGCGACGCCGCGUGAGGGAUGAAGGUCUUCGGAUCGUAAACCUCUGUCAGCAGGGAAGAACGGUCACUGUGCUAAUCAGCAGUGAAUUGACGUUACCUGCAAAGGAAGCACCGGCUAACUCCGUGCCAGCAGCCGCGGUAAUACGGAGGGUGCGAGCGUUAAUCGGAAUUACUGGGCGUAAGGCGCUCGUAGGCGGUAUGUCAAGUCAAGGGUGAAAUCCCCGGGCUCAACGUGGGAACGGCCUUUGAAACUGACAAACUGGAGUGUGUGAGGGGAGAGUGGAAUUCCAGGUGUAGGAGUGAAAUCCGUAGAUAUCUGGAGGAACAUCAGUGGCGAAGGCGACUAGCUGGAACAUAACUGACGCUGAGGAGCGAAAGCGUGGGUAGCAAACAGGAUUAGAUACCCGAGUAGUC